GAUAAUCGGUACGGGUUGUGAGAGCAAGAGCCCGGAGACGGAAUCUGAGACAAGAUUCCGGGCCNUACGGGGCGCAGCAGGCGCGAAACCUUUACACUGCACGCAAGUGCGUAAGGGGACCCCAAGUGCGAGGGCAUAUAGUCCUCGCUUUUCUCGACUGUAAGGCGGUCGNGGAAUAAG
rnacentral:rRNA from 1 species